UAGAACAACUCUCAGCAACGGAUAUCUUGGCUCUUGCAACGAUGAAGAACGCANCGAAAUGNGAUACGUAGUGUGAAUUGCAGAAUUNCGCGAAUCAUCGAGUUUUUGAACGCAAGUUGCGCCCGAGGCUUGUCCGAGGGCAUUUCCGCUAGAGCGUCACC
rnacentral:rRNA from 1 species